rnacentral:rRNA from 1 species
AUUGAACGCUGGCGGCAGGCUUAACACAUGCAAGUCGAGCGGAGCGAGGGUGCUUGCACCUUAGCUUAGCGGCGGACGGGUGAGUAAUGCUUAGGAAUCUGCCUAUUAGUGGGGGACAACAUUCCGAAAGGAACGCUAAUACCGCAUACGCCCUACGUGGGAAAGCAGGGGAUCUUCGGACCUUGCGCUAAUAGAUGAGCCUAAGUCGGAUUAGCUAGUUGGUGGGGUAAAGGCCUACCAAGGCGACGAUCUGUAGCGGGUCUGAGCGGAUGAUCCGCCACACUGGGACUGAGACACGGCCCAGACUCCUACGGGAGGCAGCAGUGGGGAAUAUUGGACAAUGGGCGGAAGCCUGAUCCAGCCAUGCCGCGUGUGUGAAGAAGGCCUUUUGGUUGUAAAGCACUUUAAGCGAGGAGGAGGCUACUUAGAUUAAUACUCUGGGAUAGUGGACGUUACUCGCAGAAUAAGCACCGGCUAACUCUGUGCCAGCAGCCGCCGUAAAAC